rnacentral:misc_RNA from 1 species
UUUCCGUAGGUGAACCUGCGGAAGGAUCAUUACUGAGUUUUUAAUGAAGUUGUUCUGGUCUUUCGGGGCAAGUGAACGCUUCUCUCAAUCCAUCUUACACCUGUGCACCUAUCGGGGAAGACUUGGAUCUAAGUUGGGUCACGACGGCGAUCUACAGUCUCCUCUUUAUACCAAAUAACAGUUUUAGAAAGUCUUUUUUGCUUGAUGCAAACUUAAAUAAAUACAACUUUCAGCAACGGAUCUCUUGGCUCUC